GGCAAAAGUAGACGCCUCUAAUUGCCCUUUUAUUACCGUAUAAAGUGACUGCCACGUGCUCGUGUAUUUCAACCAGUAAAGGCGCUGUUUCCGUUCCCAGGCUGGUUCACGUAGAGCACCAUGAGAUUCGCAGUACUUGGUGCGCUGGCCGUCAUGGCUACCCUUGUGGUAUUGGCCAAUGCAAACUACUACGGAUAUCCUUAUUAUCCGGGUUACGCAGGCGACGGCGGGAAUGGGCAGGACAGUUCGAUACUCGGCUUCCUCGGACUUUUGCUAAUCAUGGCGAUUCUUUUCAACAACGAAAGAAACAACAACUCUAGCUCCCGAAUAAUCACUAUCGGAUAACCGGGGGAUGUGAAAACCGGAACUUGCGAGUUGGAUGAUACUCGGCCAUCUAUCGACGACGCAUGCGCACUCGUUUGGACAACUCACGAUAUAUAUUGUUUGCACACACUGUAGCAC